rnacentral:rRNA from 1 species
UUGACGGGAACCCGCACAAGCGGUGGAGUAUGUGUUUAAUUCGAGGAUACACGAGAACCUUACCAGGUCUUGACAUCCCUUGCAAAGCUAUGGAGACAUAGUGGAGGUUAUCAAGGAGACAGGUGGUGCAUGGUUGUCGUCAGCUCGUGUCGUGAGAUGUUGGGUUAAGUCCCGCAACGAGCGCAACCCUUAUUGCUAGUUACCAUCAUUAAGUUGGGGACUCUAGCGAGACUGCCAGUGAUAAACUGGAGGAAGUGGGGAUGACGUCAAAUCAUCAUGCCCCUUAUGACCUGGGCUACAAACGUGAUACAAUGGCUGAAACAAAGGGCAGCGAAGCAGUGAUGUGGAGCGAAACCCAAAAAAGCAGUCUCAGUUCGGAUUGAAGUCUGCAACUCGACUUCAUGAAGUUGGAAUCGCUAGUAAUCGUAGAUCAGAACGCUACGGUGAAUACGUUCUCGGGGUUU